CCUACGGGAGGCAGCAGUGAGGAAUAUUGGUCAAUGGGCGAGAGCCUGAACCAGCCAAGUCGCGUGAGGGAGUACUGCCCUAUGGGUUGUAAACCUCUUUUGUCGGGGAGCAAAAGCCGGACGUGUCCGGCUGUGAGAGUACCCGAAGAAAAAGCAUCGGCUAACUCCGUGCCAGCAGCCGCGGUAAUACGGAGGAUGCGAGCGUUAUCCGGAUUUAUUGGGGUUAAAGGGUGCGCAGGCGGAUUUUUAAGUCAGCGGUCAAAUCGUGGGGCUCAACCCCAUCCAGCCGUUGAAACUGGGGAUCUAGAGUGUGCGAGAGGUAUGCGGAAUGCGUGGUGUAGCGGUGAAAUGCAGAGAUAUCACGCAGAACCCCGAUUGCGAAGGCAGCAUACCGGUGCACAACUGACGCUCAGGCACGAAAGCGUGGGUAUCGAACAGGAUUAGAUACCCCGGUAGUC
rnacentral:rRNA from 1 species